rnacentral:tRNA from 1 species
AGAAAUAUGAUGAUCAAGAAAAAGCUUCUAACUUUUAUCUCUAAUGGUUAAAUUCCAUUAAUAUUUCUA